UUUUUGACAUUUUCCUAAUUUGAUUUCAACUUUCCCUCUCGUCUCAUUCCUCUCUUCCGCGUCUCUGAACCUCCAAAAGACUCGUUCCCUCUCAUCUUUAAUUUAUCGGCACUCCUCCCUCCAAACACUCUGAGAACACUCCUCCCUCCUCGCGAUUGUGGUUGUGGUUUAGGCUAUAGAGAGAAGGAGAGCUAGGUUAAGGGAAGGCGAAGGCCAGCGAACUGAAAGCACUGUUCCUACGGCUGACCAAGUAGUUAUAGAACCUUCGGAGACUGCUUCUGCCUCCGCUGCCUCUUCGUCGAAAUCUCCGAAGUCUGACCAAAAUGGUGGAGAUUGUGUUUGGAUUGAUGUGGAAAUCAGCGGUGUUAGCACGAGAGAGAGGAGGAGGAUGGGAUUUGGAAGGGUGAGACCUCGCCGACCUCGGUUUCGACGGAGUGUCCGAUGAUGGUAACAGACGAGACGAAGUUCGAAGGUUGUUCUCUCGCGAGGUUACCUUCUUUUGAUCCCGAGUUGAUUUGGGAAGUUAUGGCCGUUUGAUAGAAUGUUUUGUAGGUGAUGUGUAUAAUAUGAAAACGAAAAUGUCAAUGUUGUGUGGUUUUGUUUUGGUUUUUGUGUGGUGAGAGAGCGGUUUCUUAGCAUAUUGAGUGGAAUUGCAAUGGUUGUCGUUUGGGCCUUGGGUUUUUGCUCAAAUGCUCGCUUGAGGAGUUUUCCUUUUGCAGUUGUUGUGAUACAGAUCUCCCUGCAUUAUAAAUUUUCCUAUCACUGCAAUGCUACUCUGUUCUCUUCUCUUCUCUCCUUCAUCCUCGAUGAUUCAUCAAUCUCCUUGCCAGGCAUCAGUUCUUAAAGAUAGCCUGCCAAUUGGAAAAGAAGCACAUGCUUGGAGCAUUUUCGUUGCUCAAGGUUAUUGAGUCUGAGCUUCAAGCAUACUUGUCUGUAACUAAGGGACGGGUGGGUCAUUGCUUGUCCCUGAUCCAAGGUGCCUCUGAUGUUCAAGAACAAGGAGGAGUACAUGACAGUCAUAAAGCAUUUCAGAUGUGUCAUCUGGAGUAGAGCAGUUAUCAACAAGACAAAUAGCAUAAAAGCUUGAGAAAAUGAUGGAAAAUGAUUUUCUUUUGUAGCAUUUGCUUGUAUAUAUGUUUUUAUUUUUUGACAGAAUACCGGAAUGAACAGGUUGUUAAGCGUUUUCAAGAAUUAUUUGCUCAGACCAAGUAUAAGGAAGCUGCAGAGCUUGCUGCACAAUCACCCCAAGGAGUACUUCGAACUCCUGAUACUGUUGCUAAAUUUCAGAGUGCAAGCUGGGCAAACACCACCACUGUUGCAAUACUUUGGAACUCUGUUAACCAUGGGAAAGCUUAAUGCUUUUGAGUCACUGGAACUGUGACGAGUUGUUGUAAAUCAGAACAAAAAGAAUCUUUUGGAAAAUUGGCUGGCAGAGGAUAAACUUGAAUGCAGUGAGGAGCUUGGUGACCUUGUGAAGACGGUGGAUAAUGACCUUGCUUUGAAAAUUUAUAUCAAAGCUAGAGCAACACCAAAAGUUGUUGCAGCUUUUGCAGAGAGGAGAGAAUUUGACAAAAUCUUGAUAUAUUCAAAGCAGAUCUUUAAUCAUUCAUCCCCUGAAAGUUGCAGACAUGGAAGACAUAAGAAGAAAUUGAGCUUCUUUUAUUUUAAGUGUUAGUAGAAAUUUUAAGUGUUAGUAGAAAUUUGGUUACAAUUU